rnacentral:rRNA from 1 species
CCUACGGGUGGCAGCAGUAGGGAAUAUUGCUCAAUGGAGGAAACUCUGAAGCAGCAACGCCGCGUGGAGGAUGAAGGUUUUCGGAUUGUAAACUUCUUUUGUUAGAGAAGAAAAUGACGGUAUCUAACGAAUAAGCACCGGCUAACUCCGUUCCAGCAGCCCCGGUAAUACGGAGGGUGCAAGCGUUACUCGGAAUCACUGGGCGUAAAGCGCGCGUAGGCGGGAUAGCAAGUCAGAUGUGAAAUCCUAUGGCUUAACCAUAGAACUGCAUUUGAAACUGUUAUUCUAGAGUAUGGGAGAGGUAGGUGGAAUUCGUGGUGUAGGGGUAAAAUCCGUAGAGAUCAAGAGGAAUACUGAUUGCGAAGGCGACCUGCUAGAACGUAACUGACGCUGAUGCGCGAAAGCGUGGGGAGCAAACAGGAUUAGAUACCCUAGUAGUC